CAUGAAGCAUAUGGGAUCAGUAAUGAUUGAAGAUAAUUCUGACUGAUGUCAUUUAGAGGAUAUUUUUCACUUCAAGUUAAAGCUUCCUUCGCGAUAGUCAUUUUGGGAUUCAUUUAACUAUGUGCUUUAUUUCAUUGCUCAAAUUUUCAUUAGUCAUUUCAUAACAGGAUUUUGAAAGCAGAUUUGGCAAAAUCUUUCUAACAAAAUGUUUGCUUAUGACGUCCCAAGGAACAGCAGUCAGAAUUGCUGGUAAGUGUGGUACAUUUUAAGACUGAUGAUAGAAGUCACUUGAACGAUAAGGGCUGCUUUGUGAGGCAGAUGGGGUUUGAACCCCGACACUCCUGAUACACCAGUCCUGACCCUGGCCUUCUCUCCUCUCCACUGGGAGAUGAGAAGGGUGCCAGCAUCCACCUCACAGGCUGUCCUGAGAGCCCAGGACUAAGGGCUUGUGUUCCUCUUGCAGGUGGCGCAGAUGUGGGGGCUUGACGAUAUACACACUGCAGGCUGCCAGUGUCGGGGUAAUCCAGUUUUAUUCAUAAAGGGACACUAGCAGCCCCCAUAUCCGGGCACAGUGGCCUGAAGGUUAAAGGCAAGGGCGGCAGGAGACCUACAGCAAAAGCUCUGAGCAGGGAGCGGCCCAGGCAGUUCCACCACCGUCUCCCCUCUGGCCGCCGAGGAAACCGAGACUCAUGGUGACCUGGCCCAGGUCUGUUGGACUCAGGGUCCUUCUCAUCCCCAAGAUCAGAGGGCUGCCAUCAGGGAAGGAGCUGGCACCUAGACCCCGCCCAGGAAGCACACAGGGAAGGAUGCCAUGGGGACUUCGGUCCACGGCGGCUGCCAGUGCCAGCUGGUAGUACCCGGCUGCAUCAAACGGGUCCUGAAAGGGACAGGCCAUGCUCAGCAAAAGGGGGACUCGGAGCCCGUCUUCCCAGAGGCCGUUCCUGUCUCCAGGUCAUUCCACAUGUCCAGCCAAUGCUGGCUCACCCCAUGAGCCCUGAAGCCUGUGACACUGCUGUGGUCUCAGCUGCAGGAGGUGGGGACGAUCCUGACACCCCUGGAAGCCUUCCUGACUGUCCCUACGCCCCACUCACCCGAAGCCUCCUGUCCCAGUCCCACCCUUUCUGCAGGCAGUGGCUGCUUUCCCCGUGGGCUGUGGUCAGGGCAGAUCCUGCCUGCUCUGAGCGUUCCAUGCAGGACCCGUGGCUCCAAGCCACAGCAGGGGCACAGUGUUGAGUGACCCAGGCUCCCCUCUGGCCCCCGUCCAUGCUGACCAUUUCCAGGCCCUCCACGGGCCAGGCCAGGUACAAAACCAUCUCACAGGUAUCCUCUCUGUCAAUGUUCCCUGAAAUAUUGACGAUGUGUGGCUCCCCAGACAUCCACUCCCAUUUUCAAUGCAUCUUUGGCUCAAACUCACCAUCCCUGGGUUGGGAUGCUGCCUCCCAGACCUCCUCCUUGACCCUCCCACCCCCCACCUGGCUUCUCCCCAGGCGCCUCCUCCACAUGGGGGUGACCCAAGGGACCUCUCUAAGACCCGUGCCUGCCCUGUCCCUCUUUACCAUCUCAAGAUGGCUCCCAGGGCCAAGGACAAAGUCCAAGAUGCAGCAGUCCAUUCCCUCACGGCCCCGAGUCACCGCCAGUGCUCAUCCAAUGCCCCCCGGCCCAGCCGAACACUGCACUCUGUGCUGGGUGCAUGGCUGAGCCUAACGUCCUUGCUCCCAGUCUGAGGGACCUGGGACUGAACAUUGACCACAAAGGUGGCCCGGGCUGUGGCAGAUGGAAGCCCAGGAGACAGUGAAGGGCCCAGGAGGCCCCGGACUCAGCCGGUGGGAGGAGGCAAAGGCUUCCUGAAGGGGUGGGGGCUUCCCAACUAAACAGGAAGGAGCCAGCCAAUGCAUAUGUGUCUGCGUGUGCCUGCGCAUGUGAAUGUGCGUGUUUGUGUGCCUGUGUGUGCACGCCUGUGUGUGCGUGUGUGUGCAUUUGCGUGUUCAUUUCCAUGUGCCUGUAGUGUGUGCAGCAGCUAGUGAGUGGCAGGCUGAGCCAGGACACACCUAAUCCACCCUAUUCCAGGGCUCACUCUCAUGUGUAGACUAAAGGGGACCCCAUUUUAGAGGCAAUUGGAAAAGAUGCCCAUUUACCUCUGCUUCUUUGCCAGCCUUCCAGGCCCCAUCCAGACCGGCUUUUUCUCCCACUGCUCCGGGCCCUGGGUCCAGAGCCUCCUAUACAAGGAGGAGGGUGUGGCCUUGGAAAGACAGCUGCCCUUGGGGAAUUCCGAGGGGGCCUCCCUGUGGGAAGCUGGCCUGCACUGACAGCACCGUCAAGAUGAGACCCAGAGGGCUGUGCAUGGGAAGGACGUGAAGGAGGCCUCUGCCCCUCGACCCCAACCGUGGACUUUGGCCUCUCAGGUACUGCUUGGCCCUUUCCUUCCUCCUGGACAGGCGGAGAAGGUGGCAGCUUGACCAAGAGAGAUAAAGGCCCACUUUUGGGAGGCCCGUCCCCUGGGUCCCAGGCGAGCCCCUGAGCGGUGAGCAGCGUCCCUCUGGGCCUGACACCUGGCACCUCCCUGUCUGGCUGGGACUUGGGAGGCCAUAGGGACCGCUUCUGACCACCAGGUGUCGCCAACACUGGGCGGGGGCCUCCUGGGCAGCCCCAGGCCUGUGGUGAGGGAUACGGGGCGGGGUCUUAGGGCUGCCCCAGCUCCUCCUGUUGUUCUAAGGCCCCCAAGAUCUCGUUCCCUAGACUGGAGUGCCCUGGCCCCUCAGCCCAUAAGGAGCACUGACACGGUGCCGGUGCGAUGCUGAGGAAGGGCGGUGCCUGCUGGGCAGAGGGGUGGAGACACCCCAGGUCUGAGUCUGCCAGUCCCAGCUCUCCACCCCUGCAGGGCUGGGGCAGAGGGGGCACAGCACCUCCCCUCGAGACAGACCUGACCCAGCAAGGUCUCAGCCUGGCUGGCUGGGACCCCGCCCCACUACUCCUGCCCUGAGCUGGGAUUUCCCUGUCUGUGAACCCAAUGGUAAGACAUCGGUCCCACCCCACCCUUCCUGGGUGAUGUGAAGAUUCCAGGUGUCUCGGGACUCCAGGAAGGAGUUGCUCAGUGCAGGCUGGCACCUGGGCAGGCUUCCUAGAGGAGGCACCGGGAUUUGGGUUGGAUCUUGCAACAUGGAUUCAACGUGAGGAUGAUGCCGUCCUCCGAAACAUCCUUCUCCCGACCUGCUUCCUUUGUUAAAUGCAACUUGACAGUCAAGAUUCAGCUUUGGUGUCACCUCCUCCGGGAGCGUCCCCCUGACUACAAUCCCCCUUCUUUACCCAGAGGCCACCAUUGCCCGCUCACGUGUCAGCCUCCCUGGGUGAGACUGAGUUCUUGAGGGUGGGGCCUGGCCAGCUUGGGAGCUGGGUUGUAUCUGCUAACCUUGCUGGCUCCUCUAGCUGGGUGCAGAGCUCCAGGGAGGCCACUGGGCCAUUCCUAAGGAAGGCUGGAACCCAGGCCUCUGGGGUGUGGGUGGAGAUCCCACUCCAAGGGGCCCGGGACCACCCAGAGCCCUGCCCCUCCCCACCCACCUUCAG